rnacentral:tRNA from 1 species
UAAGGUGUAGCUCAGUGACAGAGUCCAUGUUUAGCAUACCUGAGGUCCUGGGUUCAACUCCCAGCACCACAC